AAAAAAACAAACACUAGGUUUUCGUGCUCAUCUUUAACUGUCCGUCUUAUAUAAAAUUUUUUUAUAAUUUAUAAUUUUAUUAUUGUUAGAUGAUAAAAUAUGAUUAAUAUUUUAUACGUGACUUGUCUUUUUAGUUUUUUUAAAUAAGACGGACGGUCAAACGGGAGUACAUUCACUCUUCACUGAAU
rfam:Oryza barthii chromosome 6, whole genome shotgun sequence.